GUAGGUGGCGAGCGUUGUCCGGAUUUACUGGGCGUAAAGGGCUUGUAGGCGGUUCGCUAAGUAUGGUGUGAAAUCUCCCGGCUCAACUGGGAGGGGUCACUGGAUACUGGCGGACUAGAGGGGGGUAGAGGAGAGCAGAAUUCCUGGUGUAGCGGUGAAAUGCGUAGAUAUCAGGAGGAAUACCAGUGGCGAAGGCGGCUCUCUGGGCCUACCCUGACGCUGAGGAGCGAAAGCGUGGGGAGCAAACCGGAUUAGAUACCCGGGUAGUCCACGCCCUAAACGGUGGAUGCUAGGUGUGGGGGGUGUCGACCCCCUCCGUGCCGCAGCUAACGCUUUAAGCAUCCCGCCUGGGGAGUACGGCCGCAAGGCUA
rnacentral:rRNA from 1 species